GGUUGGUCCAAAAGCAGUAAGUUAUCUCGAUUGUUUAUAGUCAGUUACAGAUCAAACUCCUUAUUUUACUCUCACUACUGCACUUGACUACUGUAA
rnacentral:Y_RNA from 1 species